AUAUUAUAUAUAUAUAUAUGAG
rnacentral:snRNA from 1 species